UCUUCCACGAAAUUACUGAGUGACAUACCAUGAAGGGGUGCAUAGAUUUUGCUCCGGUUAUUUGCACUGGGUAAACUUCACCCUGGCAGAAUGCUGUUUCACAUCAGGAUCGCUGCUUCAUCAACACUGAUGUAAAUCACAGCCAAGCCAGCAGGAAAGGAAGGAGCGCAGAGAUAGUGUGCAGCCCCUCCCAAGCGCCUUUCUGUCUGGGAGGAACCCGAGACCCAAACAUCGAGUGUUCCCGUCUGGCACACCGAAUGACACACAGCUAUCGGCUGUGGUACGAGUGAAAUGCUUUUGGUGAAUCACUUGGACGGUGCCCGAGGCUGCUAAUAGUUCGGCCACAUCCUAUUGUUACAUUAGCAGCCCUGGAAACGAAACAGCCUGAAACCUCUCCAGGAUAGAAAAAUGUAAUAAACUAACUCGGUGCAGAUCUCCUAAAAGCAACCAAACACACCCUAAGUCUCCUCUUUAAGAUCAGCUGCAUUUUUUCUAUACGCAAGUAGUCGUAAUUAGAUUUUUAAGGGUUCGGAGUGUGCAUUCCAAGUAGAGAACUGCCGAAGAAAGGAAAACUCAUUGGGAUUUCUCUGGCCACGCUUUAUACCCCACUUGUUUAGCUGCCUAGGUUCUUCUGUGAGCGCUCACACCCCAUCAGAUAGCAACGCUUUCGUCAUUGCACUGCGGGGCUCCCCCCACUUUCCAGAUGCGGAGAUUCCUGGAGAGGAAAGGCUUCCUUUUGCUCAUGCAGCCGGUUGUGGGCAGGCUGGGCUGUGGUCCUGGCCCUCCUGCCCAGCAGGGGUUCUCAGAAAUGUCUUCUCCCAAAGGAGCAAGUGCCCACUCGAGACCAGCUGCCUCGAACGCGGUUGUUUGAAAUCCAGAGCAAGUGUUUGUCACGAGGGCGAUGGGCUAACCGUGAGAGAGAAGUCAGCCUCUGCUUUAGGGCUGGCUGCCUAAAUUACCCAAACUGAAGUUAAAAAUGUGCUCUUUUGGGGAAAGUAGAGACAGUGGGUGUGACGAAUUUCUGGAUUUUAAGGCUAAUGAGGGCUACGCCAUUCACAGCAGAGGCCGGAGACUGCAGGACCUGGUGCUGCGUUGGCAGGUUCAAUGAGUUAAAGUAGGGGAGAGGCAUGGCUGGUGUCUGCUGGAGGCUGCCAUGCAAUGCCUCAACUUGCACCUGCACAGGGAAAUACAGCCCUGCUGAUGAAAAUGCUAAGCUGACACAGCAAGGAGGCUGCAGGUUCAGCUCGUGAGGCCGGUGGAAGAUGACCUGCAGCUGGACGGACGUCUGCAGAGGGCCAGGGGAUGAGGUGAAACUCAGCAGGACCUGGGCGUCUCUUCACACAGGGCAACCUCCGCAGCUGGCCCCUGCCCUCCCAAACAGCGCACAUCAGCAGCCACCGGGUGUAUUUUUGAUUCAAAUAUUUUGUUGUUGCUGCUUUAUUAAAACGCUGACAGUAAAUACAUUUAUUAGGAAGACAGAGCAAGUGGGAAACACAAGCUGGGACGGAGAGAUUUGACCGGCUAUAAAUAGCAGCCUGAAUAAACAGACAACUGCGAAUUAUGGGCUGCAGCUCCGGGCUUCGCAUGGAGGCAGCACCUGUUACCAGGAGACUUUUUACCAGUUUAUUUGUUUGCUUUUAAAAGAAAAAAA